UUGAUGGUCGUAAUCAUACCAUGUUAGAAAGUGCUUAAGCAAAGACUGAAUGUUUUCUGUAAGGAAGAAAAACUUUAAAUUAUUAAGGUUCAUGAACAAAAAGUGGCUGUUUUCAAAGUGUUUUAAGUGAUCGCUUAUCAGUUCCCAAACAUAAUCUUCCGAUUGCUUCUUGCUCAUACUCUCUGUUUUAUUAUAUUUUGUGACCAGAAGUCUAGAACAUAUAUAGCACCAAACGGUUUCAUAUAAUCUCAUUAUGCCAUUUGGUUGGUCCAAAUAUUGGUUCUACCAGAAUUUGGUCUAUCUGAGCUUCAAGUCAACAGUGUUCACUAUCUCAGACUAAUGCAAAAAGAUAUGACAGGUACAGAGUUAAUAUCUGCUUAACAAAGAAUAUACACACAACAGAAGUCCAGAUGAUGAAUGCACCCUUUCUUGAUUGUUAACAUAGCAGAUAAACUUUGGCACAGAG
rnacentral:lncRNA from 1 species